rnacentral:rRNA from 1 species
GGGAGGUAGUGACAAUAAAUAACAACACAGGGCUCUUUCGGGUCUUGUUAUUGGAAUGAGUACGAUUUAAAUCUCCUGACGAGGAACAAUUGGAGGGCAAGUCUGGUGCCAGCAGCCGCGGUAAUUCCAGCUCCAAUAGCGUAUAUUAAAGUUGUUGCAGUUAAAAAAGCUCGUAGUUGAAUUUCAGGCCUGGCUGGACGGUCCGCCCUCUGGGUGAGAACUGUCUGUGGUCGGGUCCUACCUUCUGGCGAAGCGUCAUGGCCUUAACCGGCCGUGGCGGGGAACCAGGACUUUUACUGUGAAAAAAAUUAGAGUGUUCAAAGCAGGCAGUCGCUUGAAUACAUUAGCAUGGAAUAAUGGAAUAGGACAGUGGUUCUAUUUGUUGGUUUCUAGGACCGUUGUAAUGAUUAAUAGGGAUAGUUGGG